rnacentral:rRNA from 1 species
UACGUAGGGUGCAAGCGUUGUUCGGAAUUACUGGGCGUAAAGGGCUCGUAGGCGGCCAACUAAGUCAGACGUGAAAUCCCUCGGCUUAACCGGGGAACUGCGUCUGAUACUGGAUGGCUUGAAUCCGGGAGAGGGAUGCGGAAUUCCAGGUGUAGCGGUGAAAUGCGCAGAUAUCAGGAGGAACACCAGUGGCGAAGGCGGUGCUCUGGGCCGGAACUGACGCUGAGGAGCGAAAGCGUGGGGAGCAAACAGG